rnacentral:tRNA from 1 species
UGUUCUGUGGCUGAGUUGUUUAAAGCGGCGGUCUAGCGAAUGUGAAGUCGUGAGUUCGAAUCCCACCUGAACGC